GCCGACCAAAAUCUGCUACGACGAAGAUAGCAGCAUUUACCUUAUCCCGGUAAUGUUUGAAAGCAUUUGGAUGUUGCAUUGGUAUCACAUGAUCUCGACCAGCGGACCUCUUCCAAUAUUCAGAUUUUUGUAAGAAGUCAACAAUUUCAGCCUGCAGUUUAUCAUCAAACUUCGACUGUGUAUCAUUCCCCUGAUUAUCAUAAGUAUCAUAGCUCAACGAAGAAAAAAAGGGUACAAAGAACACAUCAGCUGAAUCCGGAUUCAAAACUCUAACCGCCUCUUGCUGCUUCGUUCCAUUUUCACGAUACAACAACGAAGCCAGCAUCCAAUACUCCACCGUGUGUUGUCUCCUUAACCCAGUAUAAUGCGGAAACUCCGGCAGAGUCUCAACCGUAACCGGAGGACCAUCGUGAUGCGGGCCUUUCAACAUUCCAACAUUAUACUUCAUCCCCAAAUCGUACAUAUAAACAUUGAGUGGCUGCCGCCGCGGUCGAGUAGCACUGCUGCUGCAGGACGUAGCGUUACUCGGCGGCAGGGAUGUGAAAAGCAGAAAUUUGGAUCUGUAAUCAAUGGUACGACCACUGUAGAAUAUAGAUGCGAAGAUG
rnacentral:misc_RNA from 1 species